CCUACGGGAGGCAGCAGUGAGGAAUAUUGGUCAAUGGGCGCGAGCCUGAACCAGCCAAGUAGCGUGAAGGAUGACUGCCCUACGGGUUGUAAACUUCUUUUAUAAAGGAAUAAAGUGAGGCCCGUGUGCCUUUUUGUAUGUCCUUUAUGAAUAAGGUUCGGCUAACUCCGUCCCAGCAGCCGCGGUAAUCCGGAGGAUCCGGGCGUUAUCCGGAUUUAUUGGGUUUAAAGGGAGCGUAGAUGGGUUGUUAAGUCAGUUGUGAAAGUUUGCGGCGCAACCGUAAAAUUGCAAUUGAUACUGGCAGGCUUGAGUACAGUUGAGGUAGGCGGAAUGCGUGGUGUAGCGGUGAAAUGCUUAGAUAUCACGAAGAACUCCGAUUGCGAAGGCAGCUUACUAAACUGCCACUGACAUUGAUGCUCGAAAGUGUGGGUAUCAAACAGGAUUAGAUACCCUAGUAGUC
rnacentral:rRNA from 1 species